rnacentral:rRNA from 1 species
AACGAACGCUGGCGGCAGGCUUAACACAUGCAAGUCGAACGCCCCGCAAGGGGAGUGGCAGACGGGUGAGUAACGCGUGGGAAUCUACCGUACCCUACGGAACAACAGUUGGAAACGACUGCUAAUACCGUAUACGCCCUUAGGGGGAAAGAUUUAUCGGGGUAUGAUGAGCCCGCGUUGGAUUAGCUAGUUGGUGGGGUAAAGGCCUACCAAGGCGACGAUCCAUAGCUGGUCUGAGAGGAUGAUCAGCCACAUUGGGACUGAGACACGGCCCAAACUCCUACGGGAGGCAGCAGUGGGGAAUAUUGGACAAUGGGCGCAAGCCUGAUCCAGCCAUGCCGCGUGAGUGAUGAAGGUCUUAGGAUUGUAAAGCUCUUUCACCGGUGAAGAUAAUGACGGUAACCGGAGAAGAAGCCCCGGCUAACUUCGUGCCAGCCGCCGCAGUAACAC